AUUGAACGCUAGCGGGAUGCUUUACACAUGCAAGUCGAACGAGUGGCGGACGGGUGAGUAAUAUAUCGGAACGUGCCCAGUAGCGGGGGAUAACUCCUCGAAAGAGUGGCUAAUCCCGCAUACUAUUGAAUUGGCCGCUAUCGGAUUAGCUAGUUGGUGGGGUAAAGGCUCACCAAGGCAACGAUCCGUAGCUGGUUUGAGAGGACGACCAGCAACACUGGAACUGAGACACGGCCCAGACUCCUACGGGAGGCAGCAGUGGGGAAUUUUGGGCAAUGGGGGAAACCCUGAUCCAGCCAUGCCGCGUGUAUGAGAAGGCCUUCGGGUUGUAAAGUACUUUUGGCAGAGAAGCGGUAUCUGAAGAAUAAGCACCGGCUAACUACGUGCCAGCAGCCGCGGUAAUUC
rnacentral:rRNA from 1 species